rnacentral:rRNA from 1 species
CAAUGCCGCGUGAGUGAAGAAGGCCUUCGGGUGUAAAGCUCUUUUGUCAGGGAAGAAACGGUGGGGGACUAAUAUCUCCUGCUAAUGACGGUACCUGAAGAAUAAGCACCGGCUAACUACGUGCCAGCAGCCGCGGUAAUACGUAGGGUGCAAGCGUUAAUCGGAAUUACUGGGCGUAAAGCGUGCGCAGGCGGUUUUGUAAGUCUGUCGUGAAAUCCCCGGGCUCAACCUGGGAAUUGCGAUGGAGACUGCAAGGCUAGAAUCUGGCAGAGGGGGGUAGAAUUCCACGUGUAGCAGUGAAAUGCGUAGAGAUGUGGAGGAACACCGAUGGCGAAGGCAGCCCCCUGGGUCAAGAUUGACGCUCAUGCACGAAAGCGUGGGAGCAAACAGGAUUAGAUACCCUGGUAGUCCACGACCCUAAACGAUGUCUACUAGUUGUCGGGUUUUAAUUAACUUGGUAACGCAGCUAACGCGUGAAGUAGACCGCCUGGGAGUACGGUCGCAAGAUU